CUCUCGGCCUCCCGCCGCCUAGGCGCCCGCGAGGGCCCUUCAGGGCUCCCGGCCCUCCUGGAGUGGAGUGAGCGGACGGUUCCCUACCCACCCUCCGAGGACGCCCCCAACCCAGGUUGCAGCCCUCAGCACAGUGUGCCGCGCCUCCAUUUCCAAAUCCGCAGCCUCCGUGACGUGUCCAUACAGAAAGAAUUGACUGGAAGUCUGGAACUGUCAGAAAAUAACUCAAGGCAUAGUUCAGUUGUGAGUUGCAAAAAAUGUUGUCAGAAUCCCUGUCCCCACUCCCUCCUCAGGAAAUCUGACACAAGCUGAACAUGAGCUUUGAUGGCUGUCACCAUGGGAAAAGUCAGGAUGUCAUGUGUGGGAGAACCUGGAAGUAUUGAAUGGUAAAAUGGAUACAGUUGUACAAGAACCCAGCUGACAGCUGGUCAGAUUAUGAAGAUGUGUCAAAUACAGUCCUUACCUUUGAUGAACUUAACAGUCAAAUGUAAGAGACACGCUCACGUACCCAAAUCAUGGUACCAAUUAUAAAAGAUAUUUGAAGAUGCCUUCAGUGCUAUAAGGGUGUCCACAGAGCCAGGGGAGGGAAGGUGGUUGUUUGUUAACAGUUUUAUUGAGAUAAAAUGUAUAUGUGAUAAAAUAUGCGCAUUGGACAUGCACAUUUGAAUGAUUUUUUAGUAAAUUUCCACGAUUGUACACUCAUCACCACAAUCCAGUUUUAGAACAGCAGUAAAUCUCCCUCUUUACCCCCAGUCUCAGAUGCCCAUUGAUCUGCUCUAUCAUCACAGCCUUGCCUCUAGGGCUAAUUUGACCUCACUGCUGAGACAGUGCCCUUCUGAGGACUUUAACAGCACUGAUGGGAACAUGAACUAUUCUUAGCCCUGGACAGAUAAUCCUCUAGGGAUUUUUCUUCCUGCCUCUUUCCUAGGGCUCUUUCCUCUGCCUCGGUAGUUUCCUCACACUCAGCCUAAAUCUCCAGAGGGACUCUGAAAAUCUCUGAGCACAAUGGUCUCUCUCUGGGCAGCUCGCUCUUCUCUGAUGCUUCAUCCCAUAAAUUUUAGUUCCUUUGUUUUCAAGCUCCCAGCUCUGGCUCCUCAACUCAGUGACACUACUGGGCUCAAUUUGUGUUCCUCCUCCCUACGUUGUGGCCUGUGAGCUGGGGUUACUGCUGGGCUUUCAACACAUUUGUUCCCUUAUCUCAGGGUUUGCUGUCCUGCGCUGCCUGUUGUCCACUCUCUGAAAACACAUUGUUUUAUACGUUUUAUCCAGUUUUCUAGCUGCUUAAAGUGAGAGGGUAAGUCUAGCCUCUAUUAUACCAUUAAGACUAGGAGAGCAAGUUCUAAUAUUAAGGGUAUUUUUAAAUUAUUCCCAUGUGCCACCUACCUAUGGCCAGUUCAAUACAAUAGAAUUAAUUCUCAAUAAAUUAGCAGAGGAUUAAUCCAGUUUGAGAUUAAACAUGGAAAAUAUAGAUAUACAUUCCCAACACAUAUAUAUGUGUAUAAAUACUUAAAAAGCAUAAAAAUAAAGGUGAAUCAAUGAAAACCUCUGUAUAUUGUUAUGAACUACAGUAUCUGCCACAAUAUGUCAACCUAGUAACAACCCAUCGCUUUCCAAUUUGCAAGGAGAUAAAUGUCUUCUUAAAUUUCAUAUGGAUAAGGGGUCAAAUGAUUAGUUUUUAGGGUUUUUUUUUAAUGAAUUUAUUUUGUAAACUUUUGCAUGAGAUUUGUAGGGUUGGCUAGGAGAGAAGAGAAUGGCGGUAAAAGAACACUGUGCCACAGCCAACAUCCUACAUGAUGUAUUUAAUGGCAUGCUUUCAUCCAGGCAACUGUAUUUGUAGUCUUGAAAUAUUUUUUUGGCCAUGCUCACAGGAUGUUGAAGUUCCCAGGCCUGGUAUCGAACCCAUGCCACAGCAGUGACCCAAGCCACCACAGUGACAAUGCUAGAUCCUUAACAGCUGAGCCACCAGGGAACUCCAUUGCAAUAUUUUUGAAUGAUAAUUACAGACUGAUAAAUGUGUUCUUUUAUAAGGAUCCUAUGCUUCCUAGUGGCAGAGAUCCCCACCCAAACUAGCUAUUCAAAAAAGGGGGGGGGACUUAAAAAGCUAGCUAUUGACAUCAUCCUUACAAAUGUUUUCUCAGGUAAGAUUCCCAAGGCAACAGAAAUGAAAGCAAAAAUAAACCAAUGGGAGUUCCUGUCAUGGCUGUUAAUGAAUCUGACUAGGAACCAUGAGGUUGUGGGUUCGACCCCUUGCCUUGCUCAGUGGGUUAAGGAUCCAGUGUUGCCGUGAGCUGUGGUGUAGGUUGCAGACAUGGCUUGGAUCUGGUGUUGCUGUUGCUCUGGCAUAGGCCAGCGACUAUAGCUCCUAUUAGACCCCUACCCUGGGAACCGCCAUAUGCCACAGGAGCGGCCCUAGAAAAGGCAAAAAAACAAAAAAUACAUAUAUAUAAAAUUUUAAAAAUAAAUAAAUAAACCAAUGGGACCUAAUCAAACUGACAAGCUUUUGCACAGCAAAGGAAACCAUAAAGAAAAAAAUAAGAAGGCAACCUACAGAAUGGGAGAAAAUAGUUUCAAGCAAUUCGGCUGACAAGGGCUUAUUAAUCUCUAAAAUAUACAAACGACUUAUAUAACUCAACAGCAAAAAAAACCAACAACCCAGUUGAAAAAUGGACAAAAGACCUGAAUAGACAUUUUUCCAAAGAAGAUAUAUAGAUGGCCAACAAGCACAUGAAAAAAUUCUCAACAUCACUGAUUAUUAAAGAAAUACAAAUCAAAACUACUAUAAGGUACCACCUCACACCUGUCAGAAUGGCCAUCAUUAAUAAGUCCAUAAAUAACAAAUGCUGGAGAGGGUGUGGAGAAAAGGGAACACUCAUGCACUGUUGGUGGGAAUGUAAAUCAGUACAACCACUAUGGAAAACAGUAUGGAGGUAACUUAGAAAACUAUACAUAGAACUACCAUAUGACCCAGCAAUCCCACUCUUGGAUAUAUAUCCAGACAAAACUUUUCUUGAAAAAGAUGCAUGUACCCAUAUGAUCAUUGCAGCACUAUUCACAAUAGCCAAGAUAUGGAAACAAACUAAAUGUCUAUCCACAGAUGAGUGGAUUAAGAAGAUGAGGAUAUACAUAAUGGAAUACUACUCAGCCAUAAAAAAUAACAAAAUAAUGCCAUUUGCAGCAACAUGGAUGGAACUAGAGACUCUCAUAUUAAGUGAAGUAAGUCAGAAAGAAGAAGAAAAAUACCAUAUGAAAUCACUUAUAUCUGGAAUCUAAUAUAUGGCACAAAUAAACCUUUCCACAGCAAAGAAAUUCAUGGACUUGGAGAACAGACUUGUGGUUGCCUAGGGGGAGGGGGAGGGAGUAGGGUGGGCUGGGAAUCUGAGGUUAAUAAAUGCAAAUUAUUGCCUUUGGAAUGGAUAAGCAAUGAGACCUGGCUGUAUAGCACUGGAAACUAUAUCUAGUCACUUGUGAUGAAACAUGAUGUGAAAAAAACAUGUGUGAGAACAUGAUGUGAGAAAAAGAAUGUAUAUAUGUAUGUGUGACUAGGUCACUUUGCUGUACAGUAGAAAAUUGACAGAACUUGUAAACCAAUUAUAAUGGAAAAAAUAAAAAUCAUUAAAAAAAAAAA
ensembl:lncRNA